AUGCAAGUCGUGGGGCGAGCAUGACGACUGCUUGCAAUUGUUGAUGGCGACCGGCGCACGGGUGAGUAACGCGUAUCCAACCUUCCCCAGUAGUAGGGUAUAGCCCGGCGAAAGUCGGAUUAAUCCCCUAUGUUAGUUUGAAGCGGACAUCUAAUUCAACCAAAGAUUCAUCGCUAUGGGAUGGGAUGCGUCUGAUUAGGUUGCAGGCGGGUAACGGCCCACCUGGCCGACGAUCAGUAGGGGUUCUGAGAGGAAGGUCCCCCACACUGGUACUGAGACACGGACCAGACUCCUACGGGAGGCAGCAGUGAGGAAUAUUGGUCAAUGGGCGCGAGCCUGAACCAGCCAAGUAGCGUGCCAGGAUGACGGCCCUACGGGUUGUAAACUGCUUUUAUGCGGGGAUAAAGUGCGGCACGUGUGCCGUUUUGCAGGUACCGCAUGAAUAAGGACCGGCUAAUUCCGUGCCAGCCGCGGC
rnacentral:rRNA from 1 species